AUUGAACGCUGGCGGCAGGCCUAACACAUGCAAGUCGAGCGGAUGAGUGGAGCUUGCUCCAUGAUUCAGCGGCGGACGGGUGAGUAAUGCCUAGGAAUCUGCCUGGUAGUGGGGGACAACGUUUCGAAAGGAACGCUAAUACCGCAUACGUCCUACGGGAGAAAGUGGGGGAUCUCCGGACCUCACGCUAUCAGAUGAGCCUAGGUCGGAUUAGCUUAGUUGGUGAGGUAAAGGCUCACCAAGGCGACGAUCCGUAACUGGUCUGAGAGGAUGAUAAGUCACACGGGAACUGAGAAACGGUCCAGACUCCUACGGGAGGCAGCAGUGGGGAAUAUUGGACAAUGGGCGAAAGCCUGAUCCAGCCAUGCCGCGUGUGUGAAGAAGGUCUUCGGAUUGUAAAGCACUUUAAGUUGGGAGGAAGGGCAGUAAGUUAAUACCUUGCUGUUUUGACGUUACCAACAGAAUAAGCACCGGCUAACUUCGUGCCAGCCGCCGCCGUAAAAC
rnacentral:rRNA from 1 species